rnacentral:rRNA from 1 species
UAGGGAAUAUUGGGCAAUGGGCGAAAGCCUGACCCAGCGACGCCGUGUGAGGGAUGAAGGCCUUCGGGUUGUAAACCUCUAACGCCGAUCAAGAAGUGUGCGGAAGCGAAUAACUUCUGUAUGCAGACGAGUCGGGGAUGAAGUCAUGGCUAACUCUGUGCCAGCAGCAGCGGUAAUACAGAGAUGACAACCGUUAUUCGGAAUCACUGGGCUUAAAGGGCACGUAGGCGGUGAGCUAAGUUGGUUGUGAAAUAUCACGUUUUAAGCGUGGAACGUCAGCCAAUACUGACUUGCUUGAGGAUAGCAGAGGAGAGUGGAAUUCCUGGUGGAGCGGUGAAAUGCGUUGAUAUCAGGAGGAACAUCGGAGGCGAAGGCGACUCUCUGGGCUAUACCUGACGCUGAGGUGCGAAAGCUAGGGGAGCAAACG